AUUGAACGCUGGCGGCAGGCCUAACACAUGCAAGUCGAGCGGACGAAGGGAGCGUGCUCCUGGAUUCAGCGGCGGACGGGUGAGUAAGGCCUAGGAAUCUGCCUGGUAGAGGGGGAUAACGUCCGGAAAGGGGCGCUAAUACCGCAUACGUCCUGAGGGAGAAAGGGGGGGAUCUUCGGACCUCACGCGAUCAGAUGAGCCUAGGUCGGAUUAGCUAGUUGGUGGGGUAAAGGCCUACCAAGGCGACGAUCCGUAACAGGUCUGAGAGGAUGAUCAGUCACACCGGGACUGAGACCCCGUCCCAGCCUCUACGGGGAGCCGCCGUUGGGGAUUUUGGCCCAUAGGCGAAAGCCUUAUCCAGCCAACCCGCCUGUGUGAAGGAGGGCCUUGGAUUGUAAAGCCCCUUUAGUUGGGAGGAAGCGCAGUAAUUUAAUACCGUGCUCUUUUGACGUUAACCACAGCAUAAGCCCCGGCCAACCUCGUGC
rnacentral:rRNA from 1 species